UACGUAGGCAGCAAGCGUUGUUCGGAGUUACUGGGCGUAAAGGGUGUGUAGGCGGUUGUUUAAGUUUGGUGUGAAAUCUCCCGGCUCAACUGGGAGGGUGCGCCGAAUACUGAAUGACUAGAGUGCAGGAGAGGAAAGUGGAAUUCCUGGUGUAGCGGUGAAAUGCGUAGAUAUCAGGAGGAACACCGGUGGUGUAGACGGCUUUCUGGACCGUAACUGACGCUGAGACACGAAAGCGUGGGUAGCAAACAGG
rnacentral:rRNA from 1 species